UCUCCUGGAAAACGGGUGGUAAUGCCGGAUGCUCCAUCAUACCGCAUGGUGUGUUGGGAAAGCCUUUGCGGCAUGGGAUGGGGUCGCGUCCUAUCAGCUUGAUGGCGGGGUAACGGCCCACCAUGGCUUCGACGGGUAGCCGGCCUGAGAGGGCGACCGGCCACAUUGGGACUGAGAUACGGCCCAGACUCCUACGGGAGGCAGCAGUGGGGAAUAUUGCACAAUGGGCGCAAGCCUGAUGCAGCGACGCCGCGUGAGGGAUGGAGGCCUUCGGGUUGUAAACCUCUUUUGUUAGGGAGCAAGGCAUUUUGUGUUGAGUGUACCUUUCGAAUAAGCACCGGCUAACUACGUGCCAGCAGCCGCGGUAAUACGUAGGGUGCAAGCGUUAUCCGGAAUUAUUGGGCGUAAAGGGCUCGUAGGCGGUUCGUCGCGUCCGGUGUGAAAGUCCAUCGCUUAACGGUGGAUCCGCGCCGGGUACGGGCGGGCUUGAGUGCGGUAGGGGAGACUGGAAUUCCCGGUGUAACGGUGGAAUGUGUAGAUAUCGGGAAAGAACACCA
rnacentral:rRNA from 1 species